rnacentral:rRNA from 1 species
AACGUAGAGUGCAAGCGUUGUCCGGAAUUACUGGGUGUAAAGGGAGCGCAGGCGGACCGGCAAGUUGGAAGUGAAAACUAUGGGCUCAACCCAUAAAUUGCUUUCAAAACUGCUGGCCUUGAGUAGUGCAGAGGUAGGUGGAAUUCCCGGUGUAGCGGUGGAAUGCGUAGAUAUCGGGAGGAACACCAGUGGCGAAGGCGACCUACUGGGCACCAACUGACGCUGAGGCUCGAAAGCAUGGGUAGCAAACAGG